AACCAUAGAAACCUGCGGAGUACCUGCGGAAGGAUCAUCAAAAAAUAAAAAUAAAAAAACAUUUUGCUCUAUUUUUUCUGGGUCAAAAAAAGGAAGGUUUGAGAAUACAUAUGUGAAUGCUUUUUCCUGGUGGUCCUUCUGGAUAGAAAGGCCCCCCCCUCUCUAGGGGGGUUUUUUUGUAUUUGAGAAUUUUCCAUCCAGAAAAAAAAGAGCAAAUGAUUUUAUAAUUGUCCCCAAGCU
rnacentral:misc_RNA from 1 species